GAUGAACGCUGGCGGCGUGCUUAACACAUGCAAGUCGAACGAAGCACUUUAUUUGAUUUCCUUCGGGACUGAUUAUUUUGUGACUGAGUGGCGGACGGGUGAGUAACGCGUGGGUAACCUGCCUUGUACAGGGGGAUAACAGUUGGAAACGGCUGCUAAUACCGCAUAAGCGCACAGCAUCGCAUGAUGCAGUGUGAAAAACUCCGGUGGUAUAAGAUGGACCCGCGUUGGAUUAGCUAGUUGGUGAGGUAACGGCCCACCAAGGCGACGAUCCAUAGCCGACCUGAGAGGGUGACCGGCCACAUUGGGACUGAGACACGGCCCAAACUCCUACGGGAGGCAGCAGUGGGGAAUAUUGCACAAUGGGCGAAAGCCUGAUGCAGCGACGCCGCGUGAGCGAAGAAGUAUUUCGGUAUGCAAAGCUCUAUCAGCAGGGAAGAUAAUGACGGUACCUGACUAAGAAGCACCGGCUAAAUACGUG
rnacentral:rRNA from 1 species